rnacentral:ncRNA from 2 species
AUAGCACUAAAAGCGCCUGAACUAUUCACAUGAGACGACAGGAUGAAUAGUUGACGAGGAGGAGGGUUAUCGAUCUUUUCGGCGGAUACCUCCCGAUUGCACAUCUCAAUCGUAAUUCUUUAUUCAUAAAACAGCGAGGCAACUCGUUGGCCAACUGAGUAAAGCAAGAUGAAU